rnacentral:rRNA from 1 species
CGCGGCCUAUCAGCUUGUUGGUGAGGUAACGGCUCACCAAGGCAUCGACGGGUAGCUGGUCUGAGAGGAUGAUCAGCCACACUGGAACUGAGACACGGUCCAGACUCCUACGGGAGGCAGCAGUGGGGAAUAUUGCACAAUGGGCGCAAGCCUGAUGCAGCGAUGCCGCGUGCGGGAAGAAGGCCCUAGGGUUGUAAACCGCUUUCAGCAGGGAAGAAAAUGACGGUACCUGUAGAAGAAGGUGCGGCCAACUACGUGCCAGCAGCCGCGGUGACACGUAGGCACCAAGCGUUGUCCGGAUUUAUUGGGCGUAAAGAGCUCGUAGGCGGUUCAGUAAGUCGGGUGUGAAAACUCUGGGCUCAACCCAGAGACGCCACCCGAUACUGCUGUGACUUGAGUACGGUAGGGGAGCGGGGAAUUCCUGGUGUAGCGGUGAAAUGCGCAGAUAUCAGGAGGAACACCAGUGGCGAAGGCGCCGCUCUGGGCCGUAACUGACGCUGAGGAGCGAAAGCAUGGGUAGCAAACAGGAUUAGAUACCCUGGUAGUCCAUGCCGUAAACGUUGGGCACUAGGUGUGGGUCUCAACCAACGAGAUCCGCGCCGUCGCUAACGCAUUAAGUGCCCCGCCUGGGAGUACGGA